rnacentral:rRNA from 1 species
GACGAACGCUGGCGGCGUGCUUAACACAUGCAAGUCGAACGGAAAGGCCCUGCUUUUGUGGGGUGCUCGAGUGGCGAACGGGUGAGUAACACGUGAGUAACCUGCCCUUGACUUUGGGAUAACUUCAGGAAACUGGGGCUAAUACCGGAUAGGAGCUCCUGCUGCAUGGUGGGGGUUGGAAAGUUUCGGCGGUUGGGGAUGGACUCGCGGCUUAUCAGCUUGUUGGUGGGGUAGUGGCUUACCAAGGCUUUGACGGGUAGCCGGCCUGAGAGGGUGACCGGCCACAUUGGGACUGAGAUACGGCCCAGACUACUACGGGAGGCAGCAGUGGGGAAUAUUGCACAAUGGGCGGAAGCCUGAUGCAGCAACGCCGCGUGCGGGAUGACGGCCUUCGGGUUGUAAACCGCUUUCGCCUGGGACGAAGCGUGAGUGACUGUAAUGGGUAAAGAAGCACCGGCUAACUACG